rnacentral:siRNA from 1 species
CAUACAGGAGAACGAUGUCCCAG